AAAAGUUCCUGGCGGCACUACGCACAUUUUUUCCGCACGAACCCUACCGUUAUUACAAGCGGGAUAGCGAUACUAUUAGGAACACCAUCUAUCCAUAGGCUACACUGCGUGAACGUUUACGACGAUACUUUACCACAAUUACAACGGACUACGGCCGUAUACCAAGCGCCAAAGCUGACAUCACGACUGUGCUAGCAUCACAACGCAAGUCCAUAUGGCUGAGCAGGAGCAAAGGUCAAAGCGGAAAAUGGAACCAACAGAG